AACGAACGCUGGCGGCAGGCUUAACACAUGCAAGUCGAGCGCCCCGCAAGGGGAGCGGCAGACGGGUGAGUAACGCGUGGGAAUCUACCCAUCUCUACGGAAUAACGCAUGGAAACGUGUGCUAAUACCGUAUACGUCCUUCGGGAGAAAGAUUUAUCGGAGAUGGAUGAGCCCGCGUUGGAUUAGCUAGUUGGUGGGGUAAAGGCCUACCAAGGCGACGAUCCAUAGCCGGUCUGAGAGGAUGAUCAGCCACACUGGGACUGAGACACGGCCCAGACUCCUACGGGAGGCAGCAGUGGGGAAUAUUGGACAAUGGGCGCAAGCCUGAUCCAGCCAUGCCGCGUGAGUGAUGAAGGCCCUAGGGUUGUAAAGCUCUUUCACCGGUGAAGAUAAUGAUGGUAACCGGAGAAGAAGCCCCGGCUAACUUCGUGCCAGCCGCCGCAGUAAUAC
rnacentral:rRNA from 1 species